GAAGCAGCUUGCUGCUUCGCUGACGAGUGGCGGACGGGUGAGUAAUGUCUGGGAAACUGCCUGAUGGAGGGGGAUAACUACUGGAAACGGUGGCUAAUACCGCAUAACGUCGCAAGACCAAAGAGGGGGACCUUCGGGCCUCUUGCCAUCAGAUGUGCCCAGAUGGGAUUAGCUAGUUGGUGAGGUAACGGCUCACCAAGGCGACGAUCCCUAGCUGGUCUGAGAGGAUGACCAGCCACACUGGAACUGAGACACGGUCCAGACUCCUACGGGAGGCAGCAGUGGGGAAUAUUGCACAAUGGGCGCAAGCCUGAUGCAGCCAUGCCGCGUGUAUGAAGAAGGCCUUCGGGUUGUAAAGUACUUUCAGCGGGGAGGAAGGUGUUGUGGUUAAUAACCGCAGCAAUUGACGUUACCCGCAGAAGAAGCACCGGCUAACUCCGUGCCAGCAGCCGCGGUAAUACGGAGGGUGCAAGCGUUAAUCGGAAUUACUGGGCGUAAAGCGCACGCAGGCGGUCUGUCAAGUCGGAUGUGAAAUCCCCGGGCUCAACCUGGGAACUGCAUUCGAAACUGGCAGGCUUGAGUCUUGUAGAGGGGGGUAGAAUUCCAGGUGUAGCGGUGAAAUGCGUAGAGAUCUGGAGGAAUACCGGUGGCGAAGGCGGCCCCCUGGACAAAGACUGACGCUCAGGUGCGAAAGCGUGGGGAGCAAACAGGAUUAGAUACCCUGGUAGUCCACGCCGUAAACGAUGUCUACUUGGAGGUUGUGCCCUUGAGGCGUGGCUUCCGGAGCUAACGCGUUAAGUAGACCGCCUGGGGAGUACGGCCGCAAGGUUAAAACUCAAAUGAAUUGACGGGGGCCCGCACAAGCGGUGGAGCAUGUGGUUUAAUUCGAUGCAACGCGAAGAACCUUACCUGGUCUUGACAUCCACAGAACUUUCCAGAGAUGGAUUGGUGCCUUCGGGAACUGUGAGACAGGUGCUGCAUGGCUGUCGUCAGCUCGUGUUGUGAAAUGUUGGGUUAAGUCCCGCAACGAGCGCAAC
rnacentral:rRNA from 1 species